rnacentral:rRNA from 1 species
AUUGAACGCUGGCGGCAGGCUUAACACAUGCAAGUCGAACGGUAACAGGGGAAAGCUUGCUUUCUUGCUGACGAGUGGCGGACGGGUGAGUAAUGCUUGGGAAUCUGGCUUAUGGAGGGGGAUAACGACGGGAAACUGUCGCUAAUACCGCGUAGAGUCGAGAGACGAAAGUGCGGGACCGCAAGGCCGCAUGCCAUGAGAUGAGCCCAAGUGGGAUUAGGUAGUUGGUAGGGUAAAGGCCUACCAAGCCGACGAUCUCUAGCUGGUCUGAGAGGAUGACCAGCCACACCGGGACUGAGACACGGCCCGGACUCCUACGGGAGGCAGCAGUGGGGAAUAUUGCGCAAUGGGGGCAACCCUGACGCAGCCAUGCCGCGUGAAUGAAGAAGGCCUUCGGGUUGUAAAGUUCUUUCGGUGACGAGGAAGGUUGUUGUGUUAAUAGCGCAACAA